GUCCGGCUUAGUUAGGGGGCGCACAGAGAUGGGUUUGCGCUCUACUACAAACCUUCUCAGGCCUUUUGAGGGGACUCCAUCACUGAUCUCCAUGUGGUGUCCCCCAAGCUGCCUUGGACAAGG
rfam:Musa acuminata subsp. malaccensis Doubled-haploid Pahang (DH-Pahang) genomic chromosome, chr4